rnacentral:rRNA from 1 species
GUCCACGCCCUAAACGAUGAUCACUAGGUGUUGGGGAGCGAUCUCCGAGUACCGUAGCUAACGCGUGAAGUGAUCCGCCUGGGGAGUACGGUCGCAAGAUUAAAACUCAAAGGAAUUGACGGGACCCGCACAAGCGGUGGAUGAUGUGGAUUAAUUCGAUGCAACGCGAACAACCUUACCUACCCUUGACAUGUCCGGAAGGCCCCCUGAGAGGGGGUUGUGCCUGAAAGGGAACCGGAACACAGGUGCUGCAUGGCUGUCGU